UUCUGCCAAGCAUUAUUCGAAAGUGCUUUCCAAACAGGCUAGCCUGGUGCUGGUUGGUGAUUGGCGCUAUUUUGGUGUGGAGGUUAUGGAAUUGAAGAGUGAGCCAUUUUCGUGUAAAAUGAUGAUGUGCCGCCUUGUACCAGUCCCAACGCAGGCGUGCUAGGCUCAAGAACCGAUGCUCCCACAUAGCAGUCCCAAUGCAGAAUGCCUUCAACGUGUGAAUUCGUUCGCGUUUCUUCAGACUGAUGACAAGAUC
rnacentral:lncRNA from 1 species